GAACUAAUAAUUUGUAGGUUUAGCUCUGGUAGGGCGCAACUGUCCUUGGCAGCAAUUUUCCUUCAGAUACCUGGUUGGUUGUGCACCUGUAUGAUAACAUCCAAAUUACGGUGAAAGAAAGGUGUAUGUGAACUACUGUACACUUCGAAAAGAAAAACAUCUAAAAUAUUAAUAUUGGAAUGGUGUUUCUUCUAAGUUUGGAAAAGAUACAUAUAGUGUCUCAGGUCUAAUUUACCAAUCUAUCAAGAAGUGCGAGGUGCAUGUGCAAUCAUUGUCAGCGGAACAAGAUGUAUAUUGAAUUGCCGGAACACAAUGUACAGUACUAUCAACGUCCGAAUUUAUGUGGUGGUCUGCAAAUACUUGUGUAUAACACUGGAUCAUCGGAAUUGCAUUACAUUUGCAAAUUAUGUUUCUUGUAAUCCUCGAACGAUAUUACAUACUUAAAUAUAAUUGGGCCUAAGGAUUGUAAAUACUGUAUAUAUUACAUUAUAUAAAACUGCAAUAUUUAUGUUUUAUUUAUACUACGUUUGUAUAGUAGCGAUGUAACAUUUCCGAGUAUGUAAGAAAUAAAAGUUAACUGCUGUGUAAUUUAUCA